GUGGAAUUGGAUGGUUAACUAUCUUAUAUAUAGAUUUGUCAAAAUUCUAAAAGAAGUUAAAUUUGUCCCUAAACACAUUUUAAAUUUAGUUAAAUUAAUCUCUAUUUUGAAUCACAUUUUUCAUUUUUUUUCUUUUGCUUUUUUCAUUUCUCUCCACUUUUUCUUCUCACCAAAUGCCAUCGUCGUCCUCUGAAAAUCCGGCAAUAUCGUUGCCAUCACCUGUGUCGG
rnacentral:lncRNA from 1 species